CUUAACUAGGAACCGUACCCCAAACCGACACAGGUGGUUGGGUAGAGAAUACCAAGGCGCUUGAGAGAACUCGGGUGAAGGAACUAGGCAAAAUGGCACCGUAACUUCGGGAGAAGGUGCGCCGGUGAGGGUGAAGUAUUUACUACGUAAGCCCAUGCCGGUCGAAGAUACCAGGCCGCUGCGACUGUUUAUUAAAAACACAGCACUCUGCAAACACGAAAGUGGACGUAUAGGGUGUGACGCCUGCCCGGUGCCGGAAGGUUAAUUGAUGGGGUUAGCUAACGCGAAGCUCUUGAUCGAAGCCCCGGUAAACGGCGGCCGUAACAAUAACGGUCCUAAGGUAGCGAAAUUCCUUGUCGGGUAAGUUCCGACCUGCACGAAUGGCGUAACGAUGGCGGCGCUGUCUCCACCCGAGACUCAGUGAAAUUGAAAUCGCUGUGAAGAUGCAGUGUAUCCGCGGCUAGACGGAAAGACCCCGUGAACCUUUACUAUAGCUUUGCACUGGACUUUGAAUUUGCUUGUGUAGGAUAGGUGGGAGGCUUUGAAGCGUGAACGCCAGUUUGCGUGGAGCCAAUCUUGAAAUACCACCCUGGCAACUUUGAGGUUCUAACUCUGGUCCGUUAUCCGGAUCGAGGACAGUGUAUGGUGGGUAGUUUGACUGGGGCGGUCUCCUCCUAAAGAGUAACGGAGGAGUACGAAGGUGCGCUCAGACCGGUCGGAAAUCGGUCGUAGAGUAUAAAGGCAAAAGCGCGCUUGACUGCGAGACAGACACGUCGAGCAGGUACGAAAGUAGGUCUUAGUGAUCCGGUGGUUCUGUAUGGAAGGGCCAUCGCUCAACGGAUAAAAGGUACUCCGGGGAUAACAGGCUGAUACCGCCCAAGAGUUCAUAUCGACGGCGGUGUUUGGCACCUCGAUGUCGGCUCAUCACAUCCUGGGGCUGAAGCCGGUCCCAAGGGUAUGGCUGCUCGCCAUUUAAAGUGGUACGCGAGCUGGGUUUAGAACGUCGUGAGACAGUUCGGUCCCUAUCUGCCGUGGACGUUUGAGAUUUGAGAGGGGCUGCUCCUAGUACGAGAGGACCGGAGUGGACGAACCUCUGGUGUUCCGGUUGUCACGCCAGUGGCAUUGCCGGGUAGCUAUGUUCGGGAAAGAUAACCGCUGAAAGCAUCUAAGCGGGAAACUUGCCUCAAGAUGAGAUCUCACUGGAACCUUGAGUUCCCUAAAGGGCCGUCGAAGACUACGACGUUGAUAGGUUGGGUGUGUAAGCGCUGUGAGGCGUUGAGCUAACCAAUACUAAUUGCCCGUGAGGCUUGACC
rnacentral:rRNA from 1 species